rnacentral:tRNA from 2 species
GGCCAGGUAGCUCAGUUGGUACGAGCGUCCGCCUGAAAAGCGGAAGGUCGCCGGUUCAAUCCCGGCUCUGGCCA